GAUCUUCCAUCUGUUCUUUGUAAUUGAGGUUGCUAGGGAAUGAACUUUCAAAUUGUUGCCUUGAUGCUGUAGAGGAGGAAAUCGGUGCUACUAGUUGGAACCAAGCCUGGGGAAAGAAGGAUUGAGAGAAGGAAAAACAACUUGGCCUUAGAACAUAAAACUGGAGCUUUUUUCCUACGUCAUCUCCCAAGAACUAACUAAUGCACAAGUACUGAUCUAGCUGUAGGGAUGAAGACUCUACUUUUAAAAUCACAUUGCCCCUUCUUUUUAAAAUAAAUCCUUAUAACUACUGUGAUUUUUCACUGAAAGAUAAAUUGUACACCACUGAGAACUUACUUUCUUUCCUAAUUAGCAUUUAAGAGAUUCAUAAAAUGGAAAAAGUAUGCUUAAUAAUCUCCAGUGUACUAUAACUUAACUUGGCCAGCCAUAGUCAGCAAUCAAUUAAUGCCACACUGUUGAGUGG